rnacentral:rRNA from 1 species
GGCUUAGAGUUUGAUCCUGGCUCAGAUUGAACGCUGGCGGAAUGCUUUACACAUGCAAGUCGAACGGCAGCACGGGAGCUUGCUCCUGGUGGCGAGUGGCGAACGGGUGAGUAAUGCGUCGGAACGUAUCCAUUAAUGGGGGAUAACGCAGCGAAAGCUGUGCUAAUACCGCAUACGCCCUGAGGGGGAAAGCAGGGGAUCUUCGGACCUUGCGUUAUUGAGCGGCCGACGUCUGAUUAGCUAGUUGGUGGGGUAAAGGCCUACCAAGGCGACGAUCAGUAGCUGGUCUGAGAGGAUGAUCAGCCACACUGGAACUGAGACGCGGUCCAGACUCCUACGGGAGGCAGCAGUGGGGAAUUUUGGACAAUGGGCGCAAGCCUGAUCCAGCCAUUCCGCGUGAGUGAAGAAGGCCUUCGGGUUGUAAAGCUCUUUCGGCAGGGAAGAAACAGUUGAGGCUAAUAUCCUUGACCAAUGACGGUACCUGCAUAAGAAGCACCGGCUAACUACGUGCCAGCAGCCGCGGUAAUACGUAGGGUGCGAGCGUUAAUCGGAAUUACUGGGCGUAAAGCGUGCGCAGGCGGUUUUUCAAGUCUGAUGUGAAAGCCCCGGGCUUAACCUGGGAACUGCGUUGGAAACUGAAAGACUAGAGUACGGCAGAGGGGGGUAGAAUUCCACGUGUAGCAGUGAAAUGCGUAGAUAUGUGGAGGAAUACCGAUGGCGAAGGCAGCCCCCUGGGUCGAUACUGACGCUCAUGCACGAAAGCGUGGGUAGCAAACAGGAUUAGAUACCCUGGUAGUCCACGCCCUAAACGAUGUCAACUAGUUGUUGGGGAGGGAGACCUCCUUAGUAACGCAGCUAACGCGUGAAGUUGACCGCCUGGGGAGUACGUCGCAAGAUUAAAACUCAAAGGAAUUGACGGGGGCCCGCACAAGCGGUGGAUUAUGUGGAUUAAUUCGAUGCAACGCGAAAAACCUUACCUACCCUUGACAUGUACGGAACUUGCCAGAAAUGGCUUGGUGCUCGAAAGAGAACCGUAACACAGGUGCUGCAUGGCUGUCGUCAACUCGUGUCGUGAGAUGUUGGGUUAAGUCCCGCAACGAGCGCAACCCUUGCCAUUAGUUGCUACAUUCAGUUGAGCACUCUAAUGGGACUGCCGGUGACAAACCGGAGGAAGGUGGGGAUGACGUCAAGUCCUCAUGGCCCUUAUGGGUAGGGCUUCACACGUAAUACAAUGGUCGGUACAGAGGGUUGCCAACCCGCGAGGGGGAGCCAAUCCCAGAAAGCCGAUCGUAGUCCGGAUCGGAGUCUGCAACUCGACUCCGUGAAGUCGGAAUCGCUAGUAAUCGCGGAUCAGCAUGUCGCGGUGAAUACGUUCCCGGGCCUUGUACACACCGCCCGUCACACCAUGGGAGUGGGUAUUACCAGAAGCAGGUAGCUUAACCUUCGGGAGGGCGCUUGCCACGGUAGGAUUCAUGACUGGGGUGAAGUCGUAACAAGGUAACCAAGC